AUACUUACCUGGCUGAGGAGNUACCAUGAUCACAAAGGUGGUUUUCCCAGGGCGAGNCUUAUCCAUUACACUCCGGAUGUGCUGACUCCCGCGAUUUCCCCAAAUGUGGGAAACUCGGCUGCAUAAUUUGUGGUAGUGGGGGACUGUGUUCGUGCUCUGCCCUG